rnacentral:rRNA from 1 species
AGUGUAUGUGGUGGAUGCCUUGGCGAUUACAGGCGAAGAAGGACGUCGCAGCCUGCGAAAAGCCGUGGGGAGCUGGCAAGCGAGCACUGAUCCACGGAUGUCCGAAUGAGGGAACUCACCCGCAAGGGUAUCUUGAAGUGAAUACAUAGCUUCAAGAGGCGAACGCAGCGAACUGAAACAUCUAAGUAGCUGCAGGAAAAGAAAUCAACCGAGAUUCUGAAAGUAGCGGCGAGCGAAAUUGGAAGAGCCUGCAAGUGAUAUUGAAUUCGAUACUGGAACGGUCUGGAAAGUCCGGCUACAGAGGGUGACAGCCCCGUACGGGAAAUUGGGUUCAAGGUACUGAGCUUGCGAGAAGUAGAGCGGGACACGUGAAAUCCUGCUCGAAGAUGGGGGGACCAUCCUCCAAGGCUAAAUACUCGUAAUCGACCGAUAGCGAACCAGUACUGUGAAGGAAAGGCGAAAAGAACCCCGGGAGGGGAGUGAAAUAGAUCCUGAAACCGCAUACAUACAAACAGUAGGAGCCCGCAAGGGUGACUGCGUACCUUUUGCAUAAUGGGUCAGCGACUUACGUUCAAUGGCAAGCUUAACCGAGUAGGGGAGGCGCAGCGAAAGCGAGUCCGAACAGGGCGAUAUGAGUCGUUGGGCGUAGACCCGAAACCAGAUGAUCUAUCCAUGGCCAGGCUGAAGGUGUGGUAACACACACUGGAGGGCCGAACCGACUAGUGUUGCAAAAUUAGCGGAUGAGCUGUGGAUAGGGGUGAAAGGCUAAACAAAUCUGGAGAUAGCUGGUUCUCCCCGAAAACUAUUGAGGUAGUGCCUCGUGUAUGACUCCAGGGGGUAGAGCACUGUUAUGGCUAGGGGGACAUGGCGUCUUACCAAACCAUGGCAAACUCCGAAUACUUGGAAGUCUGAGCACGGGAGACAGAGCACCGGGUGCUAACGUCCGGACUCAAAAGGGAAACAACCCAGACCGCCGGCUAAGGUCCCUAAUAUUGACUAAGUGGAAAACGAAGUGGGAAGGCUAAGACAGUCAGGAAGUUGGCUUAGAAGCAGCCAUCCUUCAAAGAAAGCGUAAUAGCUCACUGAUCGAGUCUUUCUGCGCGGAAGAUGUAACGGGGCUAAGUCAAUAACCGAAGCCGCGGAUUCACACUUGUGUGUGAGUGGUAGGGGAGCGUUCUGUAAGCCUGCGAAGGUGACUCGUAAGGGUUGCUGGAGGUAUCAGAAGUGCGAAUGCUGACAUGAGUAACGUUAAAGCGGGUGAAAAGCCCGCUCGCCGUAAGCCCAAGGUUUCCUGCUCUACGUUCAUCGGAGCAGGGUGAGUCGGCCCCUAAGGUGAGGCUGAGAAGCGUAACUGAUGGGAACAAGGUUAAUAUUCCUUGACCACCGCUGAAUGCGAAGGGGGGACGGAGUAUUGAAGAUCAUCCGGGUGUUGGAUAUCCCGGUUUGCGAGCGUAGGAGGCUGACAGGCAAAUCCGUCAGCGAAUCUCCGAGGCGAAGCAUCGAGCUCUCUUUUGAGCGAAGUGAUUGGAUGUGCUUCCAGGAAAAGCCUCUAAGCUCCAGUUCAGCGGGACCGUACCGCAAACCGACACUGGUGGGCGAGCUGAAUAUGCUCAGGCGCUUGAGAGAACUCAGGAGAAGGAACUCGGCAAAUUGACACCGUAACUUCGGGAUAAGGUGUGCCUUUGUAGUGUGAAGAGAGAAACACUCCGAGCAUGAAGAGGCCUCAGAGAAUCGGUGGCUGCAACUGUUUACUAAAAACACAGCACUCUGCAAAGAUGAAAGUCGACGUAUAGGGUGUGAUGCCUGCCCGGUGCUGGAAGAUUAAUUGAUGGGGUGCAAGCUCCUGAUCGAAGUCCCAGUAAACGGCGGCCGUAACUAUAACGGUCCUAAGGUAGCGAAAUUCCUUGUCGGGCAAGUUCCGACCUGCACGAAUGGCAUAAUGAUGGCCACACUGUCUCCUCCUGAGACUCAGUGAAGUUGAAAUGUUUGUGAUGAUGCAAUCUCCCCGCGGCUAGACGGAAAGACCCCAUGAACCUUUACUGCAGCUUUGCAUUGGACUUUGAACCGAUCUGUGUAGGAUAGGUGGGAGUAUCGCGAUUGCAGUGGCACUGGCUGGCUUCGCUACCGUAGCGCAGGCCGCUCCGAAAGAUAAUACCUGGUAUGCAGGUGGUAAACUGGGCUGGUCUCAGUUCCACGACACCGGCUGGUACAACAGCAGCCUGAACAAUGAUGGCCCAACUCACGAGAGCCAGCUUGGUGCAGGUGCGUUCGGUGGCUAUCAGGUUAACCCGUAUGUUGGUUUUGAAAUGGGUUACGACUGGUUAGGUCGUAUGCCAUACAAAGGCGACACCGUAAACGGCGCUUUCAAAGCACAGGGCGUUCAGCUGACCGCUAAACUGGGUUACCCAGUAACUGACGAUCUGGACGUGUACACCCGUCUGGGCGGCAUGGUAUGGCGUGCAGACUCCAGCAACAACAUCGCUGGCGACGACCAUGACACUGGCGUUUCCCCAGUAUUCGCUGGUGGCGUUGAGUGGGCUAUGACCCGUGACAUCGCUACCCGUCUGGAAUACCAGUGGGUUAACAACAUCGGCGACGGCAACACCGUUGGUGUUCGUCCAGACAACGGCAUGCUGAGCGUAGGUGUUUCCUAC